CCUGUCCCUAAAGAAAUUGCAGAUGUGGCUCCUUGUUCACCAGUAGGUGGCAGAGAGGAGAGAGACUAUGUCUAAGCUUGGUGUUCUGAACUAUGUAUGACAUCUGAAUGAUUAGUAACCCAAUAUU